AUUUUACUCUGAGUACACUUGGAAAGGAAAUGACCUCUUUUUCUUUUUUAUUUUUUCCCCUUCUCUUUAUUGAUUUAUUUAUAUUUUCCUAGCAGCCAUUCUCCACAAAUAGGUGUGUGCUUGAAAAAGGAAUUACUGACUUCAUCACCUUCAUUGAAAACAUUGUCAUGCAACACUGGAUGCCUCAGAGAAUAGCCUACCUAUGCCUUCUUCACCCCCUCUUAUCAUGUAUUUAUAAAUACUGAUAAGGUCUCCAACCUUCUCAUCUCCAGAAUGAACAGUUCCUCACAGUGGGUAGAGCUUUUCAUAUGGAUGUUGAUGAAGAAAGGAAACGUAACUGCUUGCUUGGCUUUCCAAUUGAUUUGCUGUCAAGUACACUGAGAAAUAGCUGAAGGCUUAGUACUGAAGGUAAAGUUUGGUUCUGCUGUGAUAGCAAAAUGAAUUUAAGGAGAAAGUGUGGUUUAUUAGUAUUUUAGAAGGCUGAUGACAGCAGAGAGAGGUUUGUCCAAGUCUAGAGCUGUUUUUCAGUACUCUAUGAACAAGAAGAUAUUUGAAAAAGUUAGCAGAGUUUUCCGGAUGUGAGGGUGAAACUAGUGAACUGGGAGCAAUUAGCAUGGAUUCAAGGAACUGUACCUGUUGGUGGAAGACUCUCUCUUCUUUAGACUUUGAUCAGGGUGAUCUCUAUCCUACUGUCCAUAUUGCCUACAAAGAUGAUAAAUAGUACUAGUCCCAGCACUGAUCCCUGAAGAUUGCCACUCAUCACUAGUCUCCACUUGGACAUUGAGCCAUUGACUGCAGCUCUCUAAGUGCAACCAUUCAGACAAUUAUUUAUCCAGAGAGUUGUCCACCCAUCAAAUCCCUUUUUCACCAAUUUGGUGACCAGGAUGUCAUGUGGGACAGUG
ensembl:lncRNA